GCCCUGGUGGCUCAAUGGUUAAGCACUCAGCUGCUAACUGAAAGGUCAGUGGUUCGAAUCCACCAGAGGUG
rnacentral:tRNA from 1 species